rnacentral:rRNA from 1 species
AUGUGCGAUCAUACUAGCACUAAUGCACCGAUCCCAUUGGAACUCCGAAGUUAAGUGUACUUGGACGAGAAUAGUACUAAGAUGGGCUUUGUUACAGGACUUUCACAGGCACAGGUA